rnacentral:ncRNA from 1 species
UACCUGGUUGAUUCUGCCAGUAGUCAUAUGCUUGUCUCAAAGAUUAAGCCAUGCAUGUCUAAGUAUAAGCAAUUUAUACCGUGAAACUGCGAAUGGCUCAUUAAAUCAGUUAUCGUUUAUUUGAUAGUACCUUACUACUUGGAUAACCGUGGUAAUUCUAGAGCUAAUACAUGCUAAAAGCCCCGACUUCGGAAGGGGUGUAUUUAUUAGAUAAAAAACCAAUGCCCUCCGGGGCUCCUUGGUGAUUCAUAAUAACUUAACGAAUCGCAUGGCCUUGUGCCGGCGAUGGUUCAUUCAAAUUUCUGCCCUAUCAACUUUCGAUGGUAGUAUAUGGGACUACCAUGGUUUCAACGGGUAACGGGGAAUUAGGGUUCUAUUCCGGAGAGGGAGCCUGAGAAACGGCUACCACAUCCAAGGAAGGCAGCAGGCGCGCAAAUUACCCAAUCCCGACACGGGGAGGUAGUGACAAUAAAUACUGAUACAGGGCUCUUUUGGGUCUUGUAAUUGGAAUGAGUACAAUUUAAAUCCCUUAACGAGGAACAAUUGGAGGGCAAGUCUGGUGCCAGCAGCCGCGGUAAUUCCAGCUCCAAUAGCGUAUAUUAAAGUUGUUGCAGUUAAAAAGCUCGUAGUUGAACCUUGGGCCUGGCUGGCCGGUCCGCCUCACCGCGUGCACUGGUCCGGCCGGGUCUUUCCUCCUGGGGAGCCACAUGCCCUUCACUGGGUGUGUUGGGGAACCAGGACUUUUACUUUGAAAAAAUUAGAGUGUUCAAAGCAGGCCUAUGCUCGAAUACAUUAGCAUGGAAUAAUAGAAUAGGACGUGUGGUUC